AUACAUGCAAGUCGAACGCGUCUUGGUUAAUGAUGUUAGGUGCUUGCAUUUAACUGAUUUAACAUUGAGACGAGUGGCGAACUGGUGAGUAACACGUGGGUAACCUGCCCUGAAGUGGGGGAUAACACUUGGAAACAGGUGCUAAUACCGCAUAACAACGAAAACCACAUGGUUUUCGUUUGAAAGAUGGCUUCGGCUGUCACUUUUGGAUGGACCCGCGGCGUAUUAGCUUGUUGGUGAGGUAACGGCUCACCAAGGCCAUGAUACGUAGCCGACCUGAGAGGGUAAUCGGCCACAUUGGGACUGAGACACGGCCCAAACUCCUACGGGAGGCAGCAGUAGGGAAUCUUCCACAAUGGACGAAAGUCUGAUGGAGCAACGCCGCGUGAGUGAUGAAGGGUUUCGGCUCGUAAAACUCUGUUGUUGGAGAAGAACAGGUGAUAGAGUAACUGUUAUCAUCUUGACGGUAUCCAACCAGAAAGCCACGGCUAACUACGUGCCAGCAGCCGCGGUAAUACGUAGGUGGCAAGCGUUGUCCGGAUUUAUUGGGCGUAAAGCGAGCGCAGGCGGUUUUUUAGGUCUGAUGUGAAAGCCUUCGGCUUAACCGGAGAAGGGCAUCGGAAACCGGGAGACUUGAGUGCAGAAGAGGACAGUGGAACUCCAUGUGUAGCGGUGAAAUGCGUAGAUAUAUGGAAGAACACCAGUGGCGAAGGCGGCUGUCUGGUCUGUAACUGACGCUGAGGCUCG
rnacentral:rRNA from 1 species